rnacentral:rRNA from 1 species
UUCCUACGGGAGGCAGCAGUGGGGAAUAUUGCACAAUGGGCGCAAGCCUGAUGCAGCGACGCCGCGUGGGGGAUGAAGGCCUUCGGGUUGUAAACUCCUUUCGCUAUCGACGAAGCCACUUGUGGUGACGGUAGGUAGAUAAGAAGCACCGGCUAACUACGUGCCAGCAGCCGCGGUAAUACGUAGGGUGCAAGCGUUGUCCGGAAUUACUGGGCGUAAAGAGCUCGUAGGUGGUUUGUCGCGUCGUCUGUGAAAUCCCGGGGCUUAACUUCGGGCGUGCAGGCGAUACGGGCAUAACUUGAGUGCUGUAGGGGAGACUGGAAUUCCUGGUGUAGCGGUGAAAUGCGCAGAUAUCAGGAGGAACACCGAUGGCGAAGGCAGGUCUCUGGGCAGUAACUGACGCUGAGGAGCGAAAGCAUGGGUAGCGAACAGGAUUAGAUACCCUGGUAGUCCAUGCCGUAAACGGUGGGCGCUAGGUGUAGGGGGCUUCCACGUCUUCUGUGCCGUAGCUAACGCAUUAAGCGCCCCGCCUGGGGAGUACGGCCGCAAGGCUAAAACUCAAAGGAAUUGACGGGGGCCCGCACAAGCGGCGGAGCAUGUGGAUUAAUUCGAUGCAACGCGAAGAACCUUACCUGGGCUUGACAUGUACCGGAUCGGGCUAGAGAUAGUCUUUCCCUUGUGGUCGGUAUACAGGUGGUGCAUGGCUGUCGUCAGCUC